ACCCCACGUGGUAGAGGGUCCCGCACCGAGGAACCGAGGUCGGGCAGUAAUCGUCUAGGGGGGCGCGGGGUGGGGUAGGGAACUCUGAUCUCCGUUUGACAUUAACUUCCUCUCGGCCCUGCGUGAGAGGACCCUCCCUGGGGGUCUCAGCACGUCGCGUUCUGGGUGUCAUGGGGUCGCGGCUUCCCCUCCUCCUGGGCGCGGCCCUGGCCGGCUGCCUGCUUCCUGCUCGGGGCUGUGUCAUCUGUGACCCCAAGGUUGAGAAGGCGCUACAGUCCUUAGAGACGGAGUACCUGCCCGAUCACCUGGAGGUCAAACAUCACAAAGACUUUAUGAACAGGGUAAAGCAGGCCGUGAAGGAUUUCAAGGAACUGCCGAUUCACGAGGAUUCCUAUAUGGGGGUCGUCGAUGAACCUACGCUGGAAAAGGCAUCCUGGAGUUUGCUGAAGGAGUUGAAACGCAUCAUGGAAAGCAGAGUAAAAGGUGAGCUCUUUGUAAAGGAGCUCUUCUGGAUGUUGCACCUGGAGAAAGAAAACUUUGCCCGCUACGCUGCUCAGUUUCAAAAAGAGGCUUUUUGUCCCAAUAAUUGUGGGACCAUGCUGCAGACUCUCAUUUGGUGCAAUACCUGUCAGAAGCAGGUCCACGCUUGUCGAAAGUCCAUCGACUGUGGGGAGCGGGAGAUCCAGGUCCACGCCAUGGAAGACUUAAUCCUGGACUGUGAGCUCAACUGGCAUCAAGCCUCUCAAGGCCUGACGGAUUACAGUUUUUACAGGGUCUGGCAGAACAAUACUAAGACCUUGGUGUCCAGAGGGAAAGAGUCUACGCUGAGCAAGCCCAUGGUGGAUCCGAAGGACGCAGGCACGUACCUCUGUGAGCUGGGCACCGUGCAAUCCAGCCCCGCUACCAUCAUUCAUUUCCACGUCAAAGGUCAGCACAGGGCUGUUGCCACAAGUUGGAGGUUUUUAAUAUUUUAUUUAUUUAGAAUAAAGACAGAAGUGGAGAGAGAAAGGAUAGAAGAAGGAAAGAGAGAGAGAGACCCCUGUAGCACUGCUUCACUGCUCAUGUGGGUCCCCCAGGUGGGGGCCGGGUGCUUGAACCCAGGUCCUUGCACACUGAUGUGUGCGCUUAGCCAGGUGCCCAGGGAUUCCCUGGGGGCGUGGCAUCCGGGGAGACUUGCGGCUUCACACUAUCGGAGGCGUGGUUAUGGGGGUGUGGGGAGAUCGGGUCCUGAAGUGCGUUGGGCUGUCUGUCGAUUUGGUCUGAGGGUUCUUCCCUUCUCUCAGUGUUGCCCAAAAGAAUCCAUGAGGAGACCCCAUCCACGGCCGCCCCCCCCGGGGGGAAGGUACCUUUGGAGGUGUCCACAGGCACCCAGAAUCCGCCUUUAGAGUCUCCGCAGCCCGGGAAUGUGCUGAGUGGUCGCCUGGUGGGGCUGCUGACCUGGGGCUUGGUGGUUGUGAUCAUCGGCACAGCGACCGCGUGAGCCGCCCAGUGAAGAAGGCUGUUUUUCUCUCGCUCUGAGAAGGUGAUCCACUUCCUCAAGUCCUUGCUACCGCGCGCUGGCAAGGAAGCCGAGGAGCAGUCUCACGCCUCCGAAAAAUCCACAGAGAACUCUUUCGCCCAGGAGAAUGUCC